rnacentral:rRNA from 1 species
ACACUCCUACGGGAGGCAGCAGUGGGGAAUUUUGGACAAUGGGCGAAAGCCUGAUCCAGUCAUGCCGCGUGCAGGAUGAAGGCCUUCGGGUUGUAAACUGCUUUUGUACGGAACGAAACGGCCUUUUCUAAUAAAGAGGGCUAAUGACGGUACCGUAAGAAUAAGCACCGGCUAACUACGUGCCAGCAGCCGCGGUAAUACGUAGGGUGCAAGCGUUAAUCGGAAUUACUGGGCGUAAAGCGUGCGCAGGCGGUUAUGUAAGACAGUUGUGAAAUCCCCGGGCUCAACCUGGGAACUGCAUCUGUGACUGCAUAGCUAGAGUACGGUAGAGGGGGAUGGAAUUCCGCGUGUAGCAGUGAAAUGCGUAGAUAUGCGGAGGAACACCGAUGGCGAAGGCAAUCCCCUGGACCUGUACUGACGCUCAUGCACGAAAGCGUGGGGAGCAAACAGGAUUAGAAACCCCAGUAGUCCCA